UACGUAGGGGGCAAGCGUUGUCCGGAUUUAUUGGGCGUAAAGAGCGUGUAGGCGGCUAGGUAGGUCCGUUGUGAAAACUCGAGGCUCAACCUCGAGACGCCGAUGGAAACCAUCUGGCUAGAGUCCGGAAGAGGAGAGUGGAAUUCCUGGUGUAGCGGUGAAAUGUGCAGAUAUCAGGAAGAACACCCGUGGCUAAGGCGGCUCUCUAGUACGGUACUGACGCUGAGGAGCGAAAGCGUGGGGAGCGAACAGG
rnacentral:rRNA from 1 species